rnacentral:misc_RNA from 1 species
GGAAGUAAAAGUCGUAACAAGAUUUCCGUAGGUGAACCUGCGGAAGGAUCAUUAUUGAAACUUCAUCCGGGGCGCCGCGGCCCUCAGCACCGGUGGAAACGCCGUGUUGCGGGGGCCGCGCGUGCACUCGUCCAAACCAAACCCCUGUGAACCUUACGGGAUGGCCUGGGUUAGCGCCCGGUGCCGUUCCGCUUUAUACAAACACUUAUCAAAGAAUGAACUGAAGGCGGUCUGACCGCUGGAUAACAAACUGAAACAACUUUCAACAACGGAUCUCUUGGCUCUC